ACGAACGCUGGCGGCGUGCUUAACACCUGCAAGUCGAACGGGUCUGCCCUGUUUUUUGCGGGGUGGGUCAGUGGCGAACGGGUGAGUAACACGUGAGUAACCUGCCCCUCACUUCUGGAUAACCGCUUGAAAGGGUGGCUAAUACGGGGUGUUCUGGCUGUGCCGCAUGGUGUGGCUGGGAAAGAUUCACUUUUGUGGUGUUUUGGUGGGGGAUGGGCUCGCGGCCUAUCAGCUUGUUGGUGGGGUGAUGGCCUGCCAAGGCUUUGACGGGUAGCCGGCAUGAGAGGGUGGGCGGUCACACUGGGACGGAGAUACGGCCCAGACUCCUGCGGGAGGCAGCAGUGGGGGGUAGUGCACAAUGGGCGGAAGCCUGAUGCAGCGACGUCGCGUGAGGGAUGGAGGCCUUCGGGUUGUGAACCUCUUUCGCCGGUGAAGAAGGUCCUGCUCUUUGUGGUGGGGUUGACGGUAGCCGGGUUAUGAAGCGCCGGCUAACUACGUG
rnacentral:rRNA from 1 species